UACGUAGGGUGCGAGCGUUAAUCGGAAUUACUGGGCGUAAAGCGUGCGCAGGCGGCUUCGCAAGUCAGGCGUGAAAUCCCCGGGCUUAACCUGGGAAUGGCGUCUGAAACUACGGAGCUGGAGUGUGGCAGAGGGAGGUAGAAUUCCACGUGUAGCGGUGAAAUGCGUAGAUAUUGGAAAGACCACCAAUGGCGAAGGCACUCUACUGGGCCAUUACUGACACUGAGAGACGAAAGCUAGGGGAGCAAAUGGG
rnacentral:rRNA from 1 species